UUGAGCUUGACUCUAGUUUGACAUUGUGAAGAGUCAUGAGAGGUGUAGCAUAGGUGGGAGACUUCGGUCGACAAUGAAAUACCACCACUUUCAUCGAUUCUUUACUUAUUCGGUGAGAAGAGAGCUUCGGCUCUUUGUUCUUAUCGUUAGUGUUAAGCAUAGCCACCUGGUGGCUGUGCGACUCUCGCCGAAGACAGUGUCAGGCGGGGAGUUUGACUGGGGCGGUACAUCUGUCAAACUGUAACGCAGGUGUCCUAAGGCUAGCUCAGAGAGGACGGAAACCUCUCGUAGAGCAAAAGGGCAAAAGCUCGCUUGACCUUGACUUGUGCUGGAAUGAUUGCUUCAUUUUGUUUCAUAGGGCCCCGGAAUGAAGAACAAAUAAACGAACA
rnacentral:ncRNA from 1 species